rnacentral:misc_RNA from 1 species
GGAAGUAAAGUCGUAACAAGGUUUCCGUAGGUGAACCUGCGGAAGGAUCAUUCAUAAUAAAGUGUUUUAUGGCACUUUUUAAAAAUCCAUAUCCACCUUGUGUGCAAUGUUAGAUCUCGUCAAUCUUGGCGAGAUUUUUAUACAUCAACUCAUUCUUUAACUAAUUUGUCUGAAAAAUAUUAUGAAUACUUAAUUCAAAAUACAACUUUCAACAACGGAUCUCUUGGCUCUC